rnacentral:lncRNA from 1 species
UGUCAAGAGCCUGUUGUCCCAGCCAUUCCUUUUCUGGUGUAUACAGAGCCAAGGAUCCGGAGGACAACAGGGAAGGCUGAACAGAAGACCCCACAUAAAUGGCCUGCUUCCUGCUAGUUCACUAGGGCCUGGGCUCUGUGCUGUCUUGGGACUGAGUGGACAGCUUUUGCUGUAAGGAAGUGAGAGUUGAACGUUCCCUGCCCCAUUGCUUCUGCAGACCUGGGAUCUCAUCACCCAGCCUGACCCUCUAUCAAGAAGAAGAAGUUGUCUAUAAGACACUUGGCUUAAAGUCAAUUCAUUACUUCAAAUCCAUGCCUGCCACCCUGUCUCUCAGCCUCAUGUUACAUAUAUACCUAUGAAUAUUCAUUGGCCAGAAGAAAAAGAGUAAGUAAAGAGAGGAAGGCAGAAAGAGUAAGAAAGAAAGUAAAUGGUGAUAAUGAAUGUGGUGGUUUGAAUAUGCUUGGCCCAAGGAAUGAAUGGCACUAUUAGGAGGUGUGGGCUUGUUAAAGUAGGUGUAGCUUUGUUGGAGGAGUUGUGUCACUGUGAGGGUGGGCAAUGAGACCCUCCUCCUAACCACCUGGGAGCCAAUCUUCUCUUAGCAGACUUCAGAUGAAGAUGUAAAACUCUCAGUUCCUCCUGCACCACACCUACUUUGAUGCUACCAUGUUCCGGCCUUGAUGAUAAUGGACUGACCCUCUGAGCCAGCGCCAAUUAAAUGUUGUCCUUAUAAGAGU